GACGAACGCUGGCGGCGUGCUUAACACAUGCAAGUCGAACGGUAAGGCCCUUCGGGGUACACGAGUGGCGAACGGGUGAGUAACACGUGGGUGAUCUGCCCUGCACUUCGGGAUAAGCCUGGGAAACUGGGGCUAAUACCGGAUAGGACCCUGGGAUGCAUGUUCUGGGGAGGAAAGCUUUUGCGCUUCGGGAGGGGCCUGCGUAACAUUAGCUUGUUGGGGAGGUAAAAGCUCACCAAGGCGACGAUGUUUAGCUGGUUUGAGAGGAUGAUCAGCCACACUGGGACUGAGAUACGGCCCAGACUCCUACGGGAGGCAGCAGUGAGGAAUAUUCCACAAUGGGGGAAACCCUGAUGGAGCGAUGCCGCGUGCAGGAAGACGCUUUUCGGAGUGUAAACUGCUUUUAAUAGGGAAGAUUAUGACGGUACCUAUAGAAUAAGGACCGGCCAACUACGUGCCAGCCGCCGCAGUAA
rnacentral:rRNA from 1 species